CUCUCUCUCUCUCUCUCUCUCUCUCUCUCUCUCUCUCUCUCUUCUCGUAACUUUGUGCCCACCUUUUCAUUCCCUCGGGCCGCCAGGUGAGAAGGGGAAAGUACAGGUAACAGGUAGACGGAGAAAAGGUAUAAAAGAAUCUAGGUAAGUAAGAAUGAAUGAGGUUUUGGUGAUGCGGAAGAAAGGAAAUGGUAAAAAAAAAGAGGGAGAGGAAGAAGGUAAAAAGUGGAGGUUACUGAAAGACAUGGGAAUGGAAGGAGAUGGUUAUGGUGAAGGAGUUAGGAAAAGGAAAGAAGAACGUAAGGGAUGUUAGUGAUGGAGGUGAAAAGAAGGAAAUGAAGAGAAGAUGGGACUGGAAGAAGAUAAAGGGGAGGGAAGUUACUGAAAGACAUGCGGAGGGAAGGUAAAAGUUAUGGUGAAGGAGUUUGGUCUGGUGAUGAGAAAGAGAAAGAAAAGAGUAAAAAAAGUGAGAGAGGAAGAAGAUAAAGAAAGGAGAGGUUACUGAAAGACAUGGGAGGGAAGGAGAAAGUUAUGGUGGAGGAGUUUUGGUUUGGUGAUGGGGAAGAGAAAGAAAAGAGGAAAAAAAAUAAAGUGGAAGUGGAGGAAGAUAAAAAAAAGGAGAGGUUAAUGAAAGACAUGGAAGGGAAGAAGUUAAUGGUCGCUGAGGAUGGAGAGAAAGUAUAGAAAAGAUGCAAGCGGGCGAAGAUAAGAAGAGAUAGAUGGGAAAGAAAGAAAACUAGGAGAAAGGGUAGAAGAGGAAGAAAAUACAACCGUGUACUGAAAGAAAGAGAGGGAAAGG